GAAAUGCGAUAAGUAAUGUGAAUUGCAGAAUUCAGUGAAUCAUCGAAUCUUUGAACGCAUCUUGCGCUCCUUGGUAUUCCGAGGAGCAUGCCUGUUUGAGUGUCAUCAAAUUCCUCAAACCACAUUGAUUGUUUUCGGUGUGGUUUUGGAUGUGGGGGUUUUUGCAGGCUUUAGAAAUGAAGUCUGCUCCUCUGAAAUGCAUUAGUGGUAUCUGAGCAGAACUACUACAGGUGUGAUAAUUUAUCUAUGCCUUGGUAAUGCUGCAUGAACGGAUUGCACUGCUUCCAACCCAAAAAAGUUUAUUUUUGGAGACCUCAAAUCAGGUAGGACUACCCGCUGAACUUAA
rnacentral:misc_RNA from 1 species